AUAGAUUUUACCAGUGAGACAAAUGAAGUAGCCACCCAUUAUCUUUAGAGAUGCUGAAGACUCCCCGAGGGCAGGAACGACAGGCACCAAGUCCAGCCGGGGCUCCUGGAAACAAUUUGGGAGGAAGCAAACGUCUGAAAGUUUCUGAAGACACCUGGCACCCACAGCCAGAGACCCCUACUGAGAUAUGGAAGGAUUAGUGACCAGACUAAACCAAUUCUGCUCCAGUCUCCACACGCACAUUUUGGAAGUCUCGCGGAUGUGUUUUUGCUCUGAUUUUAUAUUUGUUUUAUUACUUUUAUGAGUGUGCAUGUGUGGCCCGCGUGUAUUUCUGUGCACUAUUUAUUUGCACACCUGGUAUCUGCAGAGGUCAAGGGAAGGUAACAGAUCCCUUGGAGUUGGAUUUCAGAUGGUUCUGAGCUGCCAUGUGGGAACUGGAAAUCAACUUAGGACCUUUGGAAGGGCAGUCAGUGAUCUUAGCCACCGAGUCAUCUCUCCAGUCCCUCCAGAUUUUAGUUGAUGUGUCUGUAUAAUGUUUGCUAAAAGUAGAGUCUUGUAAAAUAUCUUACACACACUUUCAUGUCAUCUAUUCAGAAUAUAAUCUCCUGUUAGCAGUAUAAAAGACAAAUAAUCUUUUAAAAUGUAACCAGUUUAUGGAAGAGACACGGCACAUACUCUUCCCUUUGAAGUCUGUGCUCUCUGAGAUGCUUGGCAUCAUUGCCACUGCCAGGAGCCAUGUCUGCCACUUAUGGCUUAGCUUGGCUUAUGUUUUAUUUUCUUAUUAGAAAGUCCUUCUUCCUAAUCAGAGGAGAAGGGUAUGUUAAGAUGAAGCUGUCAAUAAUAAAUGGCAUAAUUCACAUACUUCAUGUAUUUUUAUAGCAAAUUAUAAUUAAGUAUGCUCAUAAAACUUGAAAUAGCAUGGUGCCAUUUGAAAGGAAAUUACGAGUUAUUUAUAAAGCAGAAGAACAUGAGGCAUAUGUCAUGCAUCAUCCUCUGAGGCUAUAAUAAGAAAUAAUUCCAUUAAUUGGUUAAACAUUAUAAUGUCUUUUUUAAAGUUAAUGCAUUUUAAUUUUUGUGUCAAAGAGAAAAUGUUUAUUUUUAUUAGGGAAAAUAAUUUAAAUGUUUCUUGUUGGCAUAACCUAUAACUUUAUAAUAGCUUUUAAGCUCUAUCAUUUAGCCCGGUAUGGUGUUUUCUUAUAUGAAACAUAUGCUCAAUACAGUGACAUUUUCUAGAACUUGAGUUUUUCUUGCUGUGCAGGAACCGGAAUAGAGACUUUUCAUAGAGAUUUUACACCUUGUCUUAAAAUGGGUAACUUUUUAUUCUAGGCCUAAUUCGAGGGCAUUUUUUAUAGGAACUGCAAAAUGAACCCCAUAUUCUACCAAAUAAACAGGAUGCUGUUAAAGAACACUGCUAAAGGGUACUGCAAAAGGAUGUUGCUAAAGGAUGGUGUUAGAAGGUGCUUCUAAAGGAUGCUGCUACAGGGUAUGCCAAAGGAUGAUGCUAGAGGAUGCUUCUAUGGUUACUAGGAUUGUGCCAAUAUGAUUGCACUGACAACUUUGGAGGUUUACGCCAUGCAAAGAGAUGUGCCCAUGUUUUAACUGAAAUGAAUACAUGGUCUUGUUAGCGACAAAUUCGAGGAGGAAGACUCUCAGAUGUACAGAAUCUGGGCUUAUCUGGGGGAUAUCCCUUGAAGAUAUUCAGUAAGGAAUGGAGCCCGUUCAGAAUUUCAAGAUGCUGAAGUAGAUCACGCACUCAGUCAGUUUUCAAGAAUCUUCAAAAAUGAGGCUCUGCAUUAGGUCCUGGAAGGUUUGUUGCCAUCAAAGCAGAUGAGCAAAACCAGAGGAUGCUGCCCUGUCAGUGCACAAACAUCUUCAUGCACACUGUGUACCCAGUUCUGUUCUGUGUUGCACAAAGGCCAUGUCGGUCUCUGCUACUGGGAUGCUAUGCAGAC